rnacentral:rRNA from 1 species
GAUGAACGCUGGCGGCGUGCUUAAUACAUGCAAGUCGAGCGAAAAGACGAGGAGCUUGCUGCUCUGACGUUAGCGGCGGACGGGAGAGUCACACGUGGAUAACCUACCUAUCAGACUGGGAUAAUUUCGGGAAACCGGCGCUAAUACCGGAUAAUAUAUUGCACCGCAUGGUGGAUUAGUGAAAGUCGGUUUUUCUGUAACGAAUAGCUGGAUCCGCGCCGCAUUAGCUAGUUGGUAAGGUACCGGCUUAUGAAGGCGACGAUGCGUAGCAGAGCUCUGAGGGGGAUCGGCCACACGGGAGCGGAGACACGGACCAGGCGCCUACGGGAGGCAGCAGUAGGGAAUCUGCCGCAAUGGUCGAGAGCCUGACGGAGCAGCGCCGCGUGAGUGAUGAAGGUCUUCGGUGCGUAAAGCUCUGUUAUUAGGUAAGAACAAAUGUGUAAUUAACUAUGCACUUCUUGACGGUACCUAAUCAAAAAGCCACGGCUAACUACGUG